rnacentral:rRNA from 1 species
AUUGAACGCUGGCGGCAGGCCUAACACAUGCAAGUCGAGCGAGCGGCGGACGGGUGAGUAAUGUCUGGGAAACUGCCUGAUGGAGGGGGAUAACUACUGGAAACGGUAGCUAAUACCGCAUACCAUCAGAUGUGCCCAGGUGGGAUUAGCUAGUAGGUGGGGUAACGGCUCACCUAGGCGACGAUCCCUAGCUGGUCUGAGAGGAUGACCAGACAAACGGGAACUGAGACAGGGUCCAGACGCCUACGGGAGGCAGCAGUGGGGAAUAUUGCACAAUGGGCGCAAGCCUGAUGCAGCCAUGCCGCGGGUGUGAAGAAGGCCUGCGGGUUGUAAAGCACUUUCAGCGGGGAGGCGUUACCCGCAGAAGAAGCACCGGCUAACUCCGUGCCAGCAGCCGCGGUAAUAC